CUUGGCAUCCUUGAAAACAAUUUUGUAUCCUUGACUAUUCAAUAAACAGUAUCAUUAAUCAUUUCUAAUUUUCGGCAAACCACAUACAAAAUUUACAAGUGUUUUUAAAAUAAGAAAAGCAGAAAAUUAAACGAAUCUAAAAUGAGUUGUUGCCCACCCGCCUGCCCUCCAGCUUGUGCUCCUUGCUGCAUCCCUUGCUGUUACCCGUGCUGCGUCCCUUGCGUGUAUUACCCCUGUUGCUUCCCAUGCUGUGCUCCAUGUGGUCCGUGUUGUGGACCAUGCUGCUAAACGGAUUAAAUAUUGAAUAUGGGAUCAUUUUUACCAAUACAGAACACGGUGUUGUUGAAGACACCAAUUAAAACGAAGUCGAGUCAGUGAGAUACAUUAUAUCAACAAUUGAUAGUAACCUCAACUUUAGUUUUCCGCUACUUAUUUGUAUUCGAUGGGUUAAAAAUAUAAAAGCAAUUAAAAGUUUCUCAUAACAUAA